rnacentral:tRNA from 1 species
GCGCCGGUAGCUCAGUUGGUAGAGCAGAAGACUCUUAAUCUUCGGGUCGUGGGUUCGAGUCCCUCCCGGCGUACCA